AGCAGCCGCGGUGAUUCCAGCUCCAAUAGCGUAUAUUAAAGUUGUUGCAGUUAAAAAGCUCGUAGUUGAAUUUCGGGAUCAAUUUAUCGGUCGUGCCAAUGGUAUGAACUGGUACAAUUGGUUUCUCCCUUCUGACGAAGCAUGAUGUCAUUAAUUUGGUGUCGUGGGGAAUCAGGACUGUUACUUUGAAAAAUUAGAGUGUUUAAAGCAAGCAUUAGCUUGAAUACAUUAGCAUGGAAUAAUGAAAUAGGACGUCUGAUCCUAUUUCGUUGGUUUCUAGGAUCGACGUAAUGAUUAAUAGGGAUAGUUGGGGCAUUAGUAUUCAAUUGUCAGAGGUGAAAUUCUUGGAUUUAUUGAAG
rnacentral:rRNA from 1 species